CGCCCAGACUCCUACGGGAGGCAGCAGUGGGGGAUAUUGCACAAUGGGGGAAACCCUGAUGCAGCGACGCCGCGUGGGUGAAGAAGCGCCUCGGCGCGUAAAGCUCUAUCAGCAGGGAAGAAAAUGACGGUACCUGACUAAGAAGCCCUGGCUAACUACGUGCCAGCAGCCGCGGUAAUACGUAGGGGGCAAGCGUUAUCCGGAUUUACUGGGUGUAAAGGGAGCGUAGACGGCGGUGCAAGCCAGAUGUGAAAGCCCGGGGCUCAACCCCGGGACUGCAUUUGGAACUGUGCUGCUAGAGUGUCGGAGAGGCAGGCGGAAUUCCUAGUGUAGCGGUGAAAUGCGUAGAUAUUAGGAGGAACACCAGUGGCGAAGGCGGCCUGCUGGACGAUGGCUGACGUUGAGGCUCGAAAGCGUGGGGAGCAAACAGGAUUAGAUACCCCAGUAACA
rnacentral:rRNA from 1 species